GUCAAUGAUGGAAUCUUUGUCUUGACCCUAAUGAGGUGUUGUCUUAAAAGUCUUGUGCAAAAGAGUUAUGCUGAGGAAC
rnacentral:snoRNA from 1 species